rnacentral:rRNA from 1 species
CCAAUAGCGUAUAUUAAAGUUGUUGCAGUUAAAAAGCUCGUAGUUGAAUUUCGGGACCAAUCUGCCGGUCGUGCCUCCGGUACGCACUGGUUUUAUUGGUUUCUCCCUUCUGACGAACCAUGAUGUCAUUAAUUUGGUGUCAUGGGGAAUCAGGACUGUUACUUUGAAAAAAUUAGAGUGUUUAUAGCAGGCUCACGCUUGAAUACAUUAGCAUGGAAUAAUGAAAUAGGACGUUUGACCCUAUUUUGUUGGUUUCUAGGAUCGACGUAAUGAUUAAUAGGGAUAGUUGGGGGCAUUAGUAUUCAAUUGGCAGAGGUGAAAUUCUUGGAUUUAUUGAAGACUAACUACUGCGAAAGCAUUUGCCAAGGAUGUUUUCAUUAAUCAAGAACGAAAGUUAGGGGAUCGAAGACGAUCAGAUACCGUCGUAGUCUUAACCAUAAACUAUGCCGACUAGGGAUCGGAUGAUGUUAAUUUUUUAAUGACUCAUUCGGCGCCUUACG